AAACAUAGCCAUUAGCCAAACAAAUACUAAAGGUAACGCCUGCCCAGUGAGUCUUACUUAAACGGCCGCGAUUAAACGUGCAAAGGUAGCGCAAUCACUUGUUCCGUAAAUAGGGACCCGUAUGAACGGCCACAUGAGAAAGAAACUGUCUCUUGAAGAUAGCCAAUGAAAUUGAUCUGUUUGUCCAAAAGCAAGCAUAAUCAAGCUAGACAAAAAGACCCUGUGAAACUUAAAACUAAGCCUUAAACAAAAUAACGCCUAACUUUUAGUUGGGGCAACUUAUGAUACACUAAACAUCUUAAACACUCUAAACCAACAAGUUAAAACUACUCAAACAAAAGAUCCGGCACAGCCGACCAACGAACCAAGCUACUCCAGGGAUAACAGCGCCAAAUUCUUUGAGAGUUCACAUCCACAAGAAUUCUUACGACCUCGAUGUUGGAUCAGGGUAUCCAAACAGCGCAGAAGCUGUUAACGGCUCGUUUGUUCAACGACUAAAACCCUACGUGAUCUGAUUCCAGACCGGA
rnacentral:rRNA from 1 species